GAGAAUUAUGUUCCGGUGAGAUAGAAAGCAUCAAAAAAGUUAUAGUCGCAGCGGACAAUGCGCCGAUAGACCAAAGUGUACGUGGAAUACAAAAACGAAACAGUAACCAAAAAUACUAUGGCGGAUACAACGAUUUCUGUAUUUCUUAUUAAAAAUAAAGAAUCGUUGCAACAACUGGAUAAAGACUAACAAGAAAACGAAAAUGGAAUUAUAGCAACAGUGAACAAAAUAGUGUCACGAGGAACUUUGAAAAAACAACCUAUAACUUAAUUUAAUUAUGAUGGAAGAGAGGAAACAGUCCUUUAAGGAUCUCAAAAAUAUUAAUUCCGCAUUACUUAGUAAUAUUAUUUAUAAAAUGUGUAUUUUUUUUUUUAAAUGUUAUUGUCAAAUUUGUAGGAGUCCUGCACAAGGACGAAAGAGAAUAUGUUGACAACAUAAGAGAAGCAUUUCGGGCUGUCAAAAAUAGACUAUAAAACUGAAUGCGUGUAAAAGAAGAAACUUAUGCAGAACAGUACUACAAGCAUUGCGCCUUGAAUUUAAUAUUAUCUUCUAUUACGUUAUUACUUAUUUGUAUUAAUAUGGAAGAAUUUACUUAUGUUAUAAAUUUAUGUACAUCAAGGAAUUUAAUUUCAAUGUUUUUCUAUUUUAUUUUUCUUAUGUUAGGAAUUAAAAAGAUUACAUGGGAAUAUCAUUCACAAGUGUUUAACAUAGUUCUAAAAAACAG